GAGUAUCAAACUGACCGGUGCACAAGAGAAGAGUUGAGGCACGAUACAUUUUUCUCUUGUUCGGGAGACUUCCAUCGAGUGUAGUCAAGCUCUGACAUACAGCUGUCGCCAUCAAGCUGUACCGCUUCCGUCAGGCUCUGAGAGACAGAGGUUGGGUUGAAAACGAGUACGAAAUUUCACCAUCUAAGGGUACCGGAGAAUCUCACUGUUUUUGCUUCCUUCAUUGGUCAAUCCGACCAGGUAUAAGAAAGUUGGGUACUUGGAUACUGAUGUUGGGCAACCUGAGUUUAGUCCUCCUGGGUUUCUAUCCCUCCCUGUGCUACAUGAAGUCACUCCAGGAGUUUUGGUUGGAGUAUAAACUUUUUGGUGGUCAACUGGUCAUAGAGUGCUGAUCAACAUGGUUAACCUUUCACAAAGGAUGAUAUGUGCCAUUGUUUUGGUUGCCUGUUUCUGACGAGGUGCCCUAUUGCUUCAUUUGAUUUGGAUCGUCAAGUAUCGCAUAAGUUAUUGUUUCCUUGGAAUUUAAGCCACAGCCUUAUUAAAGGAAGCAGAAUUCAUAAGACAUAUCGUCUCAAAGCUGGCUUUUGGGAAUCGAUUAAAUCUGGUUUUCAGUCAGCAUGUCUUUGCACGAUACAACCUUUGGCUUUAUUUGCACUCAUUUAACCUCAGGAGGGAAGGAUUGGAGGGUGAUGAGCUAAGAAGGAAUUCUGAUGUCAUGGAGAUCCUAAAGAAGACAAGUUUCCAAAGGUUAUUGGCUCUAGCGCGUUGAAAAACCCAGAAACAACCCUGGAGCAUGAAUCAGUUGAAGCUCUCAAAACCACUCUGGAAGGCUCCCUCCUAAUACCAGAGACGAACGAUGCAAGGACAAGGUUGCACCUAUGUAAUGGUACCCAUGAUCACAAGAUUAUAGCAUUUCCGGCUUAUAAAGCUUUUGAGGCUGUCGCGGUUGCUUUACAUUCCCCGCCUGUUGAUAACAUCCCUGUGUAUAUCAAUUAUCAUCUUACAAUGUCAAUCGACUCAUCAACAAUGUCUUACAAUGUCAAUCAACUCAUUAACAAUGUCGCCUCAGUUUAUUAAAACUAUCCUUCAAUUCAUUUCAACACCGCUUACUUAUUUUUGUUAACCAAA